rnacentral:rRNA from 1 species
UACAGAGGUCUCAAGCGUUGUUCGGAUUCAUUGGCGUAAAGGGUGCGUAGGCGGCGCGGUAAGUCGGGUGUGAAAUCUCGGGGCUUAACUCCGAAACUGCAUUCGAUACUGCCGUGCUUGAGGACUGGAGAGGAGACUGGAAUUUACGGUGUAGCGGUGAAAUGCGUAGAUAUCGUAAGGAAGACCAGUGGCGAAGGCGGGUCUCUGGACAGUUCCUGACGCUGAGGUACGAAGGCCAGGGGAGCAAACGGG